UCUGUAGGUGAAACUGCGGAGGGAUCAUUACCGAGUUUACAACUCCCAAACCCCAUGGUGAACGUUACCAAACUGUUGCCUCGGCGGGAUUUCUGCCCCGGGCGCGUCGCAGCCCCGGACCAAGGCGCCCGCCGGAGGACCAAUUUACAAACUCUUUUGUAUAUCCCAUCGCGGAUUCUUUACAUUCUGAGCUUUCUCGGCGCUCCUAGCGAGCGUUUCGAAAAUGAAUCAAAACUUUCAACAACGGAUCUCUUGGUUCUGGCAUCGAUGAAGAACGCAGCGAAAUGCGAUAAGUAAUGUGAAUUGCAGAAUUCAGUGAAUCAUCGAAUCUUUGAACGCACAUUGCGCCCGCCAGUAUUCUGGCGGGCAUGCCUGUCCGAGCGUCAUUUCAACCCUCGAACCCCUCCGGGGGGUCGGCGUUGGGGAUCGGCACUUACCUGCCGGCCCCGAAAUACAGUGGCGGUCUCGCCGCAGCCUCUCCUGCGCAGUAGUUUGCACACUCGCACCGGGAGCGCGGCGCGUCCACGGCCGUAAAACAACCCAAACUUCUGAAAUGUUGACCUCGGAUCAGGUAGGAAUACCCGC
rnacentral:rRNA from 1 species